UACGUAGGGCGCAAGCGUUGUCCGGAAUUAUUGGGCGUAAAGAGCUCGUAGGUGGCUUGUCACGUCGGGUGUGAAAGCUUGGGGCUUAACUCCAGGUCUGCAUUCGAUACGGGCUGGCUAGAGGUAGGUAGGGGAGAACGGAAUUCCUGGUGUAGCGGUGAAAUGCGCAGAUAUCAGGAGGAACACCGGUGGCGAAGGCGGUUCUCUGGGCCUUACCUGACGCUGAGGAGCGAAAGCUAGGGGAGCGAACAGG
rnacentral:rRNA from 1 species